rnacentral:rRNA from 1 species
AGUGAACGCUGGCGGUAGGCCUAACACAUGCAAGUCGAACGGCAGCACAGUAAGAGCUUGCUCUUACGGGUGGCGAGUGGCGGACGGGUGAGGAAUACAUCGGAAUCUACUUUUUCGUGGGGGAUAACGUAGGGAAACUUACGCUAAUACCGCAUACGACCUACGGGUGAAAGCAGGGGAUCUUCGGACCUUGCGCGAUUGAAUGAGCCGAUGUCGGAUUAGCUAGUUGGCGGGGUAAAGGCCCACCAAGGCGACGAUCCGUAGCUGGUCUGAGAGGGUGGUCAGCCACACUGGAACUGAGACACGGUCCAGACUCCUGCGGGAGGCAGCAGUGGGGAAUAUUGGACAAUGGACGAAAGCCUGAUCCAGCCAUACCGCGUGGGUGAAGAAGGCCUUCGGGUUGUAAAGCCAUUUUGUUGGGAAAGAAAAGCAGCAGGUUAAUACCCCGCUGUUCUGACGGUACCCAAAGAAUAAGCACCGGCUAACUUCGUG